rnacentral:rRNA from 1 species
UACGGAGGGAGCUAGCGUUGUUCGGAUAUACUGGGCGUAAAGCGCACGUAGGCGGCGCCGUAAGUCAGGGGUGAAAUCCCGGAGCUCAACUCCGGAACUGCCCUUGAAACUGCAGUGCUAGAAUUCUGGAGAGGCGAGUGGAAUUCCGAGUGUAGAGGUGAAAUUCGUAGAUAUUCGCAAGAACACCAGUGGCGAAGGCGGCUCACUGGCCCGGUACUGACGCUGAGGUGCGAAAGCGUGGGGAGCAAACAGG